CGCCAUGGUGUGUAUGUCCCUCGCCCUCUCCGCUUCCUGGCCUGGGCUCCUCCCGCCUGAAAGUGGUCCGUCAUGCAUGUUAUGAGGAACAUACACACACACAAGGGUUCUACUGCAAGUCCAACGCCUCAACUCCGCCAUGUCGAUGUCGUUCGCAACCUCCUGUGCCGGCCCGCAUGAGCUCACCUGUCCGCCGUCCAGGUGAGGUUCGUGUUUCCUCUGGACCACUCGCAGCACGACCAGUCCGGCACCGUCUACUUUUGGACUGGGAAAAUGGAUGUUUUCUUUUGUGAUGAAGAAACGCUGCUUGUUCGACGUGUUUGGAUGAAGUCAUGUCAAGACAAUGCUGUCCUUGGAUUGUUCCGCUUUCAUUACGGGUGAAGUUUACGUCUUGGGAAACGAGCAGCAGGAACGGUGGUCACCUGCUUCUUCCUCAAGUGUUUUCAAGAUCGCCGGAGUUACAUCGGAGCCAGGUGACCACUACCAAGAUCAAAAGAAUGUUAUCUUGGUUUUGGCCACUGAGUGGAGGGAGCAGCGGCAUGCAUGAUCAAGGACACACGUGGAGAGGCAACGACUGAGUUCGGCCCCAUCGCAGGAGAGUUAUAGAGGUUAGUGAUCGGCUGUCUAUCUUAGUCUAGUAUUUUCCUUUUUUCUUAUUUUUUACUUUUUGAUAUGAGCUUUUUGAGACAUGGGAAAGAAAAAUUAAAUCAAAAC